rnacentral:tRNA from 1 species
GCUCGGGUGGCGAAACGGCAGACGCACUAGCUUCAGGAGCUAGCGAGAGCAAUCUCAUGGGAGUUCAAAUCUCCCCCCGAGCA